GCAAUGGAGAUUAUGGUGUGGCAUUAUGUGAUAUAUAAAGAUGAUUCAAGCCAAUAGACAUGUGCACAUAAUAAGGCUCCACGCACAUAAUGUUGUUCCAUCAAUCCAUCCCACUGAUGUUUGUCUCAAUUAGAGAACUACCUUCCGAAGUGCUACCAAAGUUCAAGUGUCCUUAAUUUGUCCUCCCAUCACUGAUCAUGUAAAUUGAAAGAUAUGAUAAAAUGAACUAUAAUU
rnacentral:lncRNA from 1 species